UACGUAGGUGGCAAGCGUUGUCCGGAUUUAUUGGGUUUAAAGGGUGCGUAGGCGGCCCUGUAAGUCAGUGCUGAAAUAUCUCAGCUUAACUGGGAGGGUGGCAUUGAUACUGCGGGGCUAGAGUACAGAUGAGGUAGGCGGAAUUGACGGUGUAGCGGUGAAAUGCUUAGAUAUCGUCAAGAACACCUAUAGCGAAGGCAGCUUACUAGGCUGUAACUGACGCUGAGGCACGAAAAGUGUGGGGGAUCAAAACAGG
rnacentral:rRNA from 1 species